GAUGAACGCUGGCGGCGUGCCUAAUACAUGCAAGUCGAGCGAACGGACGAGAAGCUUGCUUUUCUGAUGUUAGCGGCGGACGGGUGAGUAACACGUGGAUAACCUACCUAUAAGACUGGGAUAACUUCGGGAAACCGGAGCUAAUACCGGAUAAUAUUUUGAACCGCAUGGUUCAAAAGUGAAAGACGGUCUUGCUGGCACUUAUAGAUGGAUCCGCGCUGCAUUAGCUAGUUGGUAAGGUAACGGCUUACCAAGGCAACGAUGCAUAGCCGACCUGAGAGGGUGAUCGGCCACACUGGAACUGAGACACGGUCCAGACUCCUACGGGAGGCAGCAGUAGGGAAUCUUCCGCAAUGGGCGAAAGCCUGACGGAGCAACGCCGCGUGAGUGAUGAAGGUCUUCGGAUCGUAAAACUCUGUUAUUAGGGAAGAACAUAUGUGUAAGUAACUGUGCACAUCUUGACGGUACCUAAUCAGAAAGCCACGGCUAACUACGUG
rnacentral:rRNA from 1 species